UAGGGAAUUUUCGGCAAUGGGCGCAAGCCUGACCGAGCAACGCCGCGUGAGGGAAGAAGGUCUUCGGAUCGUAAACCUUUGUCUUUGGGGAAGAUGAUGACGGUACCCAAGGAGGAAGCCACGGCUAACUACGUGCCAGCAGCCGCGGUAAUACGUAGGUGGCAAGCGUUGUCCGGAAUUACUGGGCGUAAAGGGCGUGUAGGCGGCCUUUUAAGUCAGGCGUGAAAACUGUGGGCUUAACCCACAGACUGCGUUUGAGACUGAGAGGCUUGAGGAUCGGAGAGGGCAGUGGAAUUCCCAGUGUAGCGGUGAAAUGCGUAGAUAUUGGGAAGAACACCAGUGGCGAAGGCGGCUGCCUGGACGACACCUGACGCUGAGGCGCGAAAGCCAGGGGAGCAAACGGGAUUAGAUACCCCGGUAGUCCUGGCUGUAAACGAUGGGUACUAGGUGUGGGAGGUAUCGACCCCUUCCGUGCCGGAGUUAACACAAUAAGUACCCCGCCU
rnacentral:rRNA from 1 species